rnacentral:rRNA from 1 species
UCGAGCGGUAUUGUUUCUUCGGAAACGAGAGAGCGGCGCACGGGUGCGGAACACGUGUGCAACCUGCCUUUAUCUGGGGGAUAGCCUUUCGAAAGGAAGAUUAAUACCCCAUAAUAUUUUGAAUGGCAUCAUUUAAAAUUGAAAACUCCGGUGGAUAGAGAUGGGCACGCUCAAGAUUAGAUAGUUGGUAGGGUAACGGCCUACCAAGUCAGUGAUCUUUAGGGGGCCUGAGAGGGUGAUCCCCCACACUGGUACUGAGACACGGACCAGACUCCUACGGGAGGCAGCAGUGAGGAAUAUUGGACAAUGGGUGAGAGCCUGAUCCAGCCAUCCCGCGUGAAGGACGACGGCCCUAUGGGUUGUAAACUUCUUUUGUACAGGGAUAAACCUUUCCACGUGUGGAAGGCUGAAGGUACUGUACGAAUAAGCACCGGCUAACUCCGUG